GCUGUGACAAGCACAGAGAUGAGUCCACCGUCAGAGGCCACCAUUUGUAACCUUCGCUGAAGCUGUUUCUGUACUUUGAUGAGCUCUGAAACCUGACCGAAACUCUUCAGAUAAGUCUGUAAUUUCUCUGUAAAUGAUUAGUUUUACAACUACUCUUUCAAGAAUUUCUGAUAUAAAAUUGAUGAAAUUCUGUUGGUACAGCUAAAUAACAAUCUGUUGUCAAACCUGCCAAGCAAAAAGCACCAAGUUAGACUACAAGCCACAACAUGAUCUAAUAUCACUGCUUUGUUGUUAUUCCAACAAGCUCAUAAUCAGUGUUACUACAGAUACAUCACUGAAACUGUUCAAUCAAGCAAAAGAACAACUGAACCGGAGUGAAAGCCAUAAUUUCAAAACACCGUGAUUAAUCAGCUCUAAUCAUUGUGGUGAGCAGAAUUGUUCUGAUGUUGUAGUGGCUCCACAGUGUUGAAACUACAACUCAUGUACUCAUGUAUUCAAAACAACAAUGGUGUUUUGCUGCCUGAUGGUUAAUGAUGCGGACUCACAUAUUCUUUUGUUGCAUCAUUUGUGUGCUCAUACAUAAUAAGCCAGCUCCUUCCCCUCCUCUUGUACACAGCGAUACAUGGCAAGUCCUCUAUUCUCCGACUCUGAGGAAGCUCCUGAGCUGCAGGUCCAAACUCAACCCAGACACCAGGCUGGAACAGUGUCCCCAGACCAGGAAGAACCUCAGUGCUCUGCUGUGGUCUGCAAACAAGAAGUGGAGAUAGAGCUGGAGACAGAAUCUGAAGGGUCAGCAAGUGAGACACUUGUGGUAAAGAGGCAAGAAAACAUUUCCUGUGAAUACACAUUUAGAAAUGAUAACUAGCAAACUAAACAGCUGCAUUAUCUGACUUUGUGUGUGGUUUUUGUCUUGGGGGGACAGAACAGACAGCUGCCAAGAUGGUAAAAGUGAGCUAAUACUCCAGCCUCGCAUCUGCAAGGAUACAAAGAAGGUGAGUUUGGAGGAUAAAAGAUAGUCAAUCCUAAAUUCAGUUUUUUGCAGUAUUAUUAUCUUUGUCUCCUGUUAAACUUGCAUCUUUUGUGUGCAGUCCACUGUCGCCCCGGACACCAUCCUGAGAGCGUUCAGACAGGAGAACGUAGAUCCAGGACUGAAAACUCCCAUCCAGGUGAGGAGGACAGAUCUACUCCACGACGCUCUGGAGGUGGUGAGGAGGCCCGACUUCUGCUUCAGGGCGACGCCUGUUAUCUCCUUCAGUGGAGAAGAGCCCGACGGCCACAAGGCCCCUGUCAGAGAGUUCUUCAGGUCCUCAUCGUUUCCCUGAAAUUAUAGCUGAAGCUGAUGGCCUCAGGCAUAAAAUAAGUCAUAUGGUUUUUUAUACUCAAGCUACUUUAAUUUAUUCAAACUCUAAUCCAACAUAACUGUAUGUUGUUGUUGUUGUUGUUUUUUUUCAAUUGGAAAACUGGCUCACAAAAAGAUUUCCACAUGGACCACCUUCUGCCUAGCAUGUAGUCUUUAAUAGGAUCAUAUUCUAUACAUUUUGGGGCUGAAGUUAACAAUUUGAAAAUUAUGAUAUUUCAGGAUCCCAGAAGACAGUGUGGUAUUAAAACUAAUUGUGUUGUUUGGUCAACCGUCCAAAACCCCAAAUAUGUGAACAGAUGGUAUUUACCAUAAUACAAAAUGGAAAGGCAGCAGCAGAUUUUUUUUUCUUUGAUCGAUGACAUAAUAAUGAGUAGUAAUAUACCUGUACUAGCUGUACAGCAUUUAAUUUAACUAGUUUAGGGGCAUUUCACUUUUUUUUAGCGCUCUGAAAGACACAGAGGCUAACAGUCUUUUAAACAGAGUACCACAAAUAACAUGUAUCCCUUUAGAAAUAAACUUUUCUUGUGAUACUUCUAAAAACCACAUAUUCUUAACUAGCCACAAUAACACUGUAUUGACCCCCCAAUGUUCCUUUAAUGCAUCAAUCCCUAUAAUUAUCUAUUAGUCACACACUGUAACAGUUAUUUAUUUGUA
ensembl:lncRNA